CUGGCUCCGGUACUUGCUAACUCCCGUACUUGUUUCCUAAGUGUAUUUCUUGAGUAGAAGAGUUGUGUUAAGAUUGUAAUCUUUAACCGCACAAGACUAUCUUCGUGCGAAAGCAAGUACUCCAACAGAGAUGCCUAAUGUGGCGGAAUAAACUGUCCAAACAGAUCUGGACGUGCGAAGAUGCUGCCAGAAUCUAUGGAUACAUUUCCUGGUGCGCUGGAUUUCCUUAUAUCCUCUCCAGAGCCCACCUCCUCACCAUAUGGCUAAUCGCCAUGCCAUCUUAAGUGACAGGGCUUUUCUUCUUUCCUCUCCUCGUCCUCCAGGCAGCUGCAGAGACUCACAGAUUACCUGUCUUGGGGUUUUUCUUCUCUAAACUCUAAUAAAAAUCAUCCUCUUCGAAUAAACUUUGGUAUUGUAUGGCUUU